AAAUCAGAGCCAGACGUGAGCCAGAUCCCAGCCAGACUCAUUCAAGCCUAAGCCCCUAUCAGGCUGGCACCACACGCCCUUCUCUCUGUCUGACCCAUAUUUCACCGCUGCUUCCUGGAAGGCAGGACACAAACGGACAUGAAUAGGUAUGACUCCAUACGAAUGGUCAAAUCCACUGAAUCAUGUCACCUGACCGUGGCGUAUUUUUACAUGCCGCAGAGUGGUGGCGGGCCUUUUUUCGGAAUCGGAAUAGCUCUGGAACAACACGGCCGACUCAUCGCCCUGGGGGAAUCUGAGCUGACGCCGGCAUGACUGAAAUUCCCCUGGCACCGCUGCUGACGCUUCCGCCGCCGCCGAGCUCCGCGCCGCGCCGAGAUACGAGAGGAUUAGCCGCCGUGCUUGCCACAGCAUUAUUUAUAGUCCUGCCGGAGUAAUACAGCACAGCGGGGGACACAGUGCAUCGGUGGGGCGGCCGAUGCACCAGAAUGCACCCUCUCCAUCAUUCAGGUUUGGUGCAGUCUCUCUCAGUGUGUGUGUAUGUGUGUGUGUGUGUGUGUGUGUGUGUGUGCAUGCCCUUUACAUUACUGAGACAACAGGAUGAGUUGCACUCCACGGGAUGUCAGUGACAACCGCAAAAGCAUCCCUCCUCAUGGCUUCCCAUGAGUGGGACAGUGGGCAGACUCCAGCGUUCCCUCCCUACCCAGGCAACUGCACCACUUUCUCUCUUCUCUCUCUUCUCUCUCUCCCUUUUCUUCCUGGAGGUUUUGUGUGGGCUCGGCUCUGUUCUCUUCAGCCUUUCACACCUCACAGAUUUCAUUUUUCACCGAUGGCACCGAGGUUGCCUAGGAACCAUGCGGAUCGGGCGUGUUUCAGGAGUUUCAGGGGGUAAUUAGGAGAUGAUGAGGAGACGCACUUUAAGCAAGGCAGCCAAUGUGUGUGUGUAAGUGUGUUCGGAAGUGAGUCUGUGUGUGUGCGUGCCUGUUUGUAUGUGUGAGAGUGUGAGUGUGUGUGUGUGUGCGUGUGCGUAUACAAUACAUGUUUAUGUGUGUAUGUGUAUAAGUGUGUGUAAGUGUGUGAGUUUUGAUAAUUAUUACGCCCUGGCAUCUUUUUUCUCCCCUAAUUGGAUGUCAUUAACACAAACUUGGAAAGAGAAACAACAGCGGAAGAACCAGAGAGAGAACAUGUGUGGGCAGUGCAAGAGGUGACGCUACUGACAUCCUCACGCUUAGUGAGACUUUAAGGUGGGGAUCACACUGGUCAGCGGCAAGCGGCAGCGGCAAGCGUAACGCCACGCUCAGACCUCAAUAAGCUCGCUGGCGCACCUGGAAGCCGAUGCCACAGCUGGUGCUGCAGGGUGCCCAGGCCGUCCACGGCGUCCAGCCGCCGUUUCUACGAAAACAGCAAUCAGCGUCGUCAAGGGCCCGGCUCACAGAGAGUCACCCACACUCAUACUCAUCACUGCUGGUAUUAGCCCCUUCUCCCUGGCAGCCUGACUGUGGACAGCUCCUGAGACUCAGCGCACAUGGGACAUUAAGCACAAUAUCAACACAAACAUCCUCCUGGGUGGGGCUCUAUAGGCAGUGCAGAGAGCGCUUUGCUCUGCACAAUAAGGCAAUAUAUCUCUCUCCCUGCUCAUGCAAAUAAGCUAAUGACGUGUGGAGGGGCAGAAUGGGGAGAGAGGGAGUGAUGGAAAGGCAAUAAGGAAGAGGGGGAGGAAAAAAGAAGAGGAGAAAGAG